UACGGCUAUAUCUUGCUGAAAUACCGGUUCUUGUACGAUCAUCAAAGUUAAGCAACGUUGUUCCUGGUCAGUACGUAGAUGGAUGACUGCUUAGGAAUAACAGGUGCUGCAU